rnacentral:sRNA from 1 species
ACCAAGUCAUUUCUUUCUAUCUGCUCUAAUUUCUUAUAUGAAGUAGCCAAGGGAGAGGUUUUCCCAUCAUAGCUGAUAAGUUUCCAUAAGGCUUCACCUGCUCCUCUCCUUUUGAUUAGAACGGUGUGCUGCUGAGGACUGUCUUGGACCCUGUCACUGGGGAUUUGUCUGACACUCGCACUCGGUACCUGGGGUCCCGUCCUGUGAAGCUCUUCCGAGUCCGAAUGCAAGGCCAGGAGGCAGUAUUGGCCAUGUCAAGCCGCUCAUGGUUGAGCUAUUCUUACCAAUCUCGCUUCCAUCUCACCCCCCUGUCUUACGAGACACUGGAAUUUGCAUCGGGUUUUGCCUCGGAACAGUGUCCCGAGGGCAUUGUGGCCAUCUCCACCAACACCCUACGGAUUUUGGCGUUAGAAAAGCUCGGUGCUGUCUUCAAUCAAGUAGCCUUCCCACUGCAGUACACACCCAGGAAAUUUGUCAUCCACCCUGAGAGUAACAACCUUAUUAUCAUUGAAACGGACCACAAUGCCUACACUGAGGCCACAAAAGCUCAGAGAA